GAGCUAACAACGCUCUCCUCGUCAACGAAACGCUGGAUAGCUUCGCCGACGUCGCGGAGAGACUGGAGGUAAACGAGGUGAGCUACGGCGAGAGCAGUGCGGUGAUGCGACGCCGUUUUGAUCAGGUCCUUGCGCUCUCUGCAGAGAAUCACAAGCUGCUGAUCAUCUAUCUUAGAUCCUCCACAACCCAUGAGGAGAAAGGUGAUGCAUGAGUAACAGCGAAACAAAACAGAAGAGUCCACGGCUGCUUGCUGCUGAUGAUGACUUAUUAUACGAAACGUGAAUACACGAAGGAGACUGACAACAAGGGGAAAAAUAAAAACAAAAAGAAAAGUCGUCGUGUUGCUAUUAAUUAUUACUACUUUACUAGAUUUAAUGGAUAGAGAUGUGCGAUGAAAGCUCGGCGGAUAUUUAUUGCAGAAUUAAAUUGGGGAAGGAGAAAGUGGGAGCAACGAGGAAGGGUUAAAAAGGACUAAAAUGUUUUUUUAUUUCUUCUCUGGAACUUUUAGUUCGCCGGGAGAGAGUGACAAUCAAAAGUAGAAGACGACGUGUCAGUAUUUUCUUCUCUUAUUUCUAUCUUUGUGUAGACAGCGUGAUAUAGCGGUGUACAGUUUGUACAUAAUACAUCCAAAAGUGGUAGAUAAAAGCUUUACUGUUUUAUUACCCACAGACAAAAUAGAUUUCAUCAUUUGGAUUAAGUAUAAAAUUAGGAAAGGACUAUAAAAAUGGAUUAUAGGUUACCAAAUAAUACAGAAGUAAAUAAAUUUUAGAUUAUGGGAUCUAAUCUUUAUUUUUCUUUUUUAAAUUGGUCCAUUCUUCCAUAUUUUAAUGUUGUAGAAAAUUCGAGUUAAUUUUCUGUUAAGUCAAAAAUAUGAAACGAGUACAGGCACAGCUUCACAAAUUAAUGUUUUAAAAAAUAGAAUAAUUAGCUGAAAUAUCAAAUUAAGUAAAAAUCUGAAUAAUAAAAGAAAGCUUAUCAAAACUAUUUGAGAUAUUUUUAUAAGCAAUAAAACCAAUUUGAGUUUAAGAAGUCAGGACUCUUUUUGUCUUUAUGUAAGUUCACUAUAGUCAAAAUGUAAAUUGGUGAAUAUAGUCUUCAAAUCCAAAUCACACAUAGUUGAAUCUUUCACUACAUACGGUUCAUUAUUUGAAUAGUGUAACAAUAAUGCAUGUGUAUUUUGAAUAUUGUCACAAUGAUGCAUAUAUCAUGCCACAUUGAGACUUGGGUGAUAAAUAAAAGUAGGCCAUGUGAGUCCAAAUCCAGAUCACAUGCACCUUUCUUGUCCCAACCCCAACCCCAAAUUACAACCAAACUAAUAGCAUGGGGAUUUUUCGUUUUUAUCCUCAAAAAUAAUGUUCUUACUUAAACUUACAUGAUUGCCCACUUGCUUUCGCUUUAAUUAGUCCAUAAUAAGUGGCAAAACACAAUAAUGAUUGUGUUGUUUAGCAAUGAGUUGUUUUAACUCAUUCACUUCACUCAAAAUGCCACGUUUCUAGAUCUAUUUGGAUCUCUUUUGAACUCUAAUACUAUAUUCGUACUUAUAAGUUUCUAUAGAGAAGUGAACAUUACAUAAUAGAUACACAUGGUAUCUUAUUUAUCUAUCUAUAUACAACUGAUCAUGUCCCUUUUCAGUUUCACAAUAUCUCUUAACAGUUAUUGCUGUCUUUUGUUGUAAAUGCUGAAAAAUACUGACAUUAUUCAUGUUGUUGUGUGCCGUUUUAAACUGGUGAGACAGAGUGUAAUAAGUUUGGUCGUGGGUGUGUCUAAUCUGAUGCUACAACACCAAUUUGCAUAUCAUAUAUACAAAAGAAAUAAAAAGAAGAAAGUUUCAAAGAGGAUGAUAAGAAAAAUGGGAAUGAGUCUAACCAAACCGCACCGACUGAUCGUAAGCUUAUUGCGUCAUUAAGAGGUAGGAACAUCGUUGUCCAUACCAACCAAUACAAAUGCAUAUACACCUUUCUAGAUUCAUAAUUUAAUAUUUGAAUAAAUUCCAUUUAGUUGUAAACUUUGAUUUUUCCCAACAAGUAAAGUAUCAAUGAAAUUGAUUGACCAUAACUACGCACGUCCAUGCCGCACGUGGUUUAUUUAAAACUUGAAAAGUUCCUCUUAAAAGAAAAACAAAACAACAAUCUUCCUUGCUUGUAGAAACAAGCACAAUGGUUAGCCUAAUCAAAGAGAGCUAUGCUUUGUAGUUUUGUCUAUAGUCUCUCACCAUAUUAUUACAAUGAUGUGCUUGUUUACAAAGAAUAUUUGAAGAUCACAUAGUUAUGUAUAUAUAUGUAAAGAGAGAACCAAAACAAUGUUAACAAUUUAGAAAC